CCUUUACGGGAGGCAGCAGUAGGGAAUAUUCCACAAUGAGCGAAAGCUUGAUGGAGCGACACAGCGUGCACGAUGAAGGCCCUCGGGUUGUAAAGUGCUGUUGCAAGGGAAGAACACUUAGUUGAGGAAAUGCAACUAAGCUGACGGUACCUUGUUAGAAAGCGAUGGCUAACUAUGUGCCAGCAGCCGCGGUAAUAAGG
rnacentral:rRNA from 1 species